GGAGAGAUGACCGAGAGGUUGAAGGUGCUCGCCUGGAAAGCGGGUAGACGGGAUCUCCCGUCUCGCGGGUUCGAACCCCGCUCUCUCCGCCA
rnacentral:tRNA from 1 species